UACGUAGAGUGCAAGCGUUAUCCGGAAUUAUUGGGCGUAAAGAGCUCGUAGGCGGUUUGUCGCGUCUGCUGUGAAAACUGGAGGCUCAACCUCCAGCCUGCAGUGGGUGCGGGCAGACUAGAGUGCGGUAGGGGAGAUUGGAAUUCCUGGUGUAGCGGUGGAAUGCGCAGAUAUCAGGAAGAACACCUAUGGCGAAGGCAGCACUCUGGGACGGUACUGACGCUGAGACGCGAAAGCGUGGGGAGCGAACAGG
rnacentral:rRNA from 1 species